CAGUAGCCGCGGUAAUACAGAGGCCUCAAGCGUUGUUCGGAUUCAUUGGGCGUAAAGGGUGCGUAGGUGGCUUGGUAAGUUGAAGGUGAAAUCUCGGGGCUUAACCCCGAAACUGCCUUCAAUACUGCUAGGCUCGAGGACUGUAGAGGAGAAUGGAAUUCACGGUGUAGCAGUGAAAUGCGUAGAUAUCGUGAGGAAGACCAGUGGCGAAGGCGAUUCUCUGGGCAGUUCCUGACACUGAGGCACGAAGGCCAGGGGAGCAAACGGGAUUAGAUACCCCGGUAGUCCCUGUCUCUUAUAA
rnacentral:rRNA from 1 species